rnacentral:rRNA from 1 species
CAGUAGCCACGGUAAUACGUAGGUGGCAAGCGUUGUCCGGAAUUAUUGGGCGUAAAGGGCUCGCAGGCGGUUUCUUAAGUCUGAUGUGAAAGCCCCCGGCUCAACCGGGGAGGGUCAUUGGAAACUGGGAAACUUGAGUGCAGAAGAGGAGAGUGGAAUUCCACGUGUAGCGGUGAAAUGCGUAGAGAUGUGGAGGAACACCAGUAGCGAAGGCGACUCUCUGGUCUGUAACUGACGCUGAGGAGCGAAAGCGUGGGGAGCGAACAGGAUUAGAUACCAGUAUCCCUGUCUCUUAUACACA